rnacentral:misc_RNA from 1 species
CUAAGGAAUAUAACGGAAACCCACACAUUCGUACUUACUUUGUUUAGUUUUGAGAGGUCUAAUCUUCUCAAUAAAUAGAUGUUGUUCUUUGAAAACUGGAUAAAGUUAAAAAUUGUAAUUCAAGUAAGAAACCAGAAACACACCGAAAAGUUUUAAAAAUGAGUUUUUUUAAGGUUCUCAUCGUAAGAUGAGUAUUGAACAUUAACGAUUAACCAUA